rnacentral:lncRNA from 1 species
GUUCAACUCUAUGGAAACCUGCAUAAAGGAAUGUACAGCAUUUUUGCAUUGGGGGGCGGGGGGGAAAUUCAGUCAAGCUGAGUUCCUCGUUCCCUGAUUAUUACAGCAAGGGGCUGAUCCUGCUCGUGCUGAACACGUGCCAAAAUCCAGAGACGAGUGGCAGAAGUCAGAGUUGCUCAGCACCUUCCAGGAUUAGAGCCUUUGGGCUGAGUUCUGGGCUAGCUUGGACGGAUCCUGCAUGGUGCUAAGAGCUCCCUGGGAGGACCAGACCAAAGAUCCCUUGCCCAGAGGCACAUUUCAGCUGUGAGGGAGCAGAGUGGGGCUCUGAAGAAUUAGACACCGGUUUGCAUGAGACAGACAGAGCAGUCUUCUGCGUUGCUACGUCCCCCUCCACCCAGAGGGAUAUUCUCCAGGGACGGCGUGAGGAGUCCACCUGCAGCCUACAUCGUUGCAGGGUUCACUGAGAUGCAGCACUUUCUUUUCCACGGCAGUUUUGAAGAUAACCAGUCCUUGAUUGCCUGAUGUGAUGGUGGCCAGCAGAGCAAUUGUAGGUAAUGCUUAAGAGACUCAUGUGGUUUAAUCGUUAUAAUUUUCCUGUGCCUCCAGGGCCCAUUGCGUUGGGCUCAUUUCGUUAUCUAACCAAUUGCUAGGAUUGUGUUUUAAUGAUAGAUGCAGCAGGCUGCCUUUGAGCAGGGAGGUACAAAGGAAUCGGCGCAUCGUUAGAGGCGAGCAUUUCAAACACGCUCUGUAAUGGCCUGAUUUUUCUCCGAUUGAAGUCGAUGGUAAAUAUUCUGCUGACUUCAAAGGGGAGCGGAGUGAGGUUACAGCCAAACACUCUUGGAAAUCCCACCCAGCACUUCGUUCUUCUUGACCUGAAGGCCAGUUCAGUCAGCUCUGCUUCCACAAAGGAGCUUUCAGGAGUCCUGUAAAAGCCACCGGAGUGAUUUCAGCCCUGGGUUCACAUGGUAGCAGCAUGUGAACUGCGGCAAAUCUAGAGGACGAUUCAGCCCUCCCAAGUUCUGAUUUCUCUUCUGCAGAUGUCCAGCUGGCAUUGCUCUUGCUCUCUCCUCGUUGACUGCGGGGAAGUUUAGGGCAAUGGGAUUCCUAACUAGGUACUUCAGUUCGGUGGGGCGAAUCCUGCAGUAAGAAGGGGGGAUUUGGGGUACCCUCACAAAACCUUUGGCUUUGCUGUGCAUCAGCCAUGACAACAGGCUGGCCUAUGCAUCUGGAAAAUCUUUACAUCAUCUCUGGGGCCCAUGGCAUGAGCUGUGACUUUGUCUUUUCCCAUCACAGAGAAAAUGGUCUUGAAUUAAUUUUUCUUUUGUGUUUCUUUUUUUUGUAAUUUUACACAUUUUUUGUUUGUGUUUUUGUAACACUGUAGUUACAAAGCUCUAUGCUAUUUUUUUUCCAUACAUUUCCAAACAUUUCCAUAAACUAAUUUCCUUUUAAAAUCAAUUAGAUUCAGCAAUAUGGAAUUGUUAUCUACACAGGACCUGUUCCUCUCUCUGCCACUGACUUAUUCUGUGAGCCUAGACCACGACCACUUACUCCCUCUGUGUCACAGCUUCCACCUCUCUGAAGGGGACUCUAAAGCUCACAAAUGGGUCAAAUGACAUCAGUUUGUCUUUUAAAUCCCUACUUCUUGUCGUUGCUGCAGAACUGAUGUGUGAGUGUGAAGUGUGAUUUGCUGCAACC